AUCCAACUGACGAGUCCUAAAUAGGACGAAACGCGUGCCAAAGUGGAU
rnacentral:hammerhead_ribozyme from 1 species